ACUGGCGGACGGGUGAGUAACACGUAGGUAAUCUACCUCCGGGUGGGGAAUAACGUCUCGAAAGAGACGCUAAUACCGCAUAAUGCAGCGGCACCUAAUGGUGAAUGGUUGUUAAAGCGGGGGACCCUUCGGGGCCUCGUGCCUGGAGAGGAGCCUGCGGCAGAUUAGCUAGUUGGUAGGGUAAUGGCCUACCAAGGCGACGAUCUGUAGCUGGUCUGAGAGGACGGCCAGCCACACUGGCACUGACACACGGGCCAGACUCCUACGGGAGGCAGCAGUGGGGAAUUUUGGGCAAUGGGGGCAACCCUGAUCCAGCAAUGCCGCGUGGAGGAUGAAGUCCCUUGGGAUGUAAACUCCUUUCGAUCGGGACGAUAAUGACGGUACCGGAAGAAGAAGCACCGGCUAACUCUGUGCCAGCAGCCGCGGUAAUACG
rnacentral:rRNA from 1 species